rnacentral:tRNA from 1 species
AAGAUUUUAAGUUAAACACAAACUAAUAAUUUUCAAAAUUAUUUAUAAAAAUUUUUUUUUAAGUCUUA